GUUAGAUUAGUGCCUUCGUGGGCACCUUGUAUAGCAAAGUAGUGUAGAAUAAAGUUUUAGGUCUAAUAACUAUGUACAGAGUAAAACAGUUAUAGUAUCAGAGUGCUACAAGUUUAAAUUAGUUGUGAAGGAGAUACCCUGAUCGGUAUCGAAUUUUCCUGUUUCACUAAGAGGGCUGUCAACUGUCAAGAUUUUAAGAGUCCCAUAAGGCUGUACGAUGUAGCAGGCGGUAAGUAUAUUAACCGAGAGAAAAAGGGAGAGAGUGGCACUGAGGAAACAGAAAUGACAAUAAAUAUCGGGUAAGUGUCAAUCCCUUUUUCUCUCGGUCAUAUACAUGUGGGUUACUGAUAUUGC